rnacentral:rRNA from 1 species
GACGAACGCUGGCGGCGUGCUUAACACAUGCAAGUCGAACGGUAAGGCCUUUUGGGGUACACGAGUGGCGAACGGGUGAGUAACACGUGGGUGAUCUGCCCUGCACUUCGGGAUAAGCCCGGGAAACUGGGUCUAAUACCGGAUAGGACUGCGCGGUGCAUGCCGUGUGGUGGAAAGAUUUAUCGGUGCAGGAUGGGCCCGCGGCCUAUCAGCUUGUUGGUGGGGUAAUGGCCUACCAAGGCGACGACGGGUAGCCGGCCUGAGAGGGCGACCGGCCACACUGGGACUGAGACACGGCCCAGACUCCUACGGGAGGCAGCAGUGGGGAAGAUUGCACAAUGGGCGCAAGCCUGAUGCAGCGACGCCGCGUGAGGGAUGACGGCCUUCGGGUUGUAAACCUCUUUCAGCAGGGACGAAGCGUGAGUGACGGUACCUGCAGAAGAAGCACCGGCCAACUACGUG